rnacentral:lncRNA from 1 species
AAAGUCAUUUAACAUAUCAUUCAAAAUAGGCAUCAACAUGUCCUAAAUCCAUCAAAAUCAAAGUUCAAAAGUAUGCCAUAGAGAUCAACAGAGAUUUCAUUCCUCCUAGGAAUGCAAAGACCUAUCAUCUAAGGCAAAAGCAAUCAUAAUGAAGCAUGAUCAGGAGAAUCAAAAUCACCAUUACUCCCAUGAUCUGCAUGCCUUGGUCCAAAGCCAAUCUCUUCUCUCAUCUUUUGAAGAACCUCCUCCUGCCAUUUUUUUCUUUUCGUGCUUAAGAAUACCUAGAAGGUCUUCACGCGUGUAUAGCUCUGGAGCUUGACUUGUAGAGGUGGAAGAGGAUGAUGAUUGCCCAAUAAUUCUAGUGAGAUCCUCCAGGGGACUAAAGCUAUAGACAUGGCCAUGAGUUGGGACACCAGUUGCCUUAAACCACAAGUCAUAAUCACGUGGUGGAGCAUCUGAGGUGGAGGCAUCACCAUAUUUUUUGGAGUAUUCAGCUGAA